rnacentral:lncRNA from 1 species
AAAAAUUUAUUUUUUACAUACUUAUUUUUGAGGGGCAAUUGCCUAUAUACCCCUGAAAAGUUUCUGGUUUUCUUAUUUACCCCUCUUAGAAGGCUAAUAUUGAAAAUACCCUUCUUAUGUUCCAAGUUUUUCUAAAAUACCCCUGGAGUUGAGUUCCGUUAGUGAGCUGCCGUUAUCUCUGAAAAAUUACCAUUUUGCCCAUUCCAAUAUACCCUUGUAUAGUAACAAACUUUUCUUUUAUACCCUUCAUAUAGCAAAUACUUUUCUUAUUUGCCUUUCAGCCGGAUCCGGAGCAGAGGGCGUGUAGGGGUCCGAUGGUGUUGCGGCCCUCUUGCUCUCGGCGCCGGCCAAGGCAGCAGAGGAGGAGAAGGACGAUGAGAGCGGCGAGAGAUGGGAUCGUCGCUGUGGCCCUCUUGCUCCCGGCGCCGGCCAAGGCGGUGAAGAAGGUGGACGACGGCGACGACGAGAGCAGCGGUGGAAGAGGACGACGAGUGCGAUGAGAGGGGUGGUGUUGGAGGUGGAGGUGUGGGAGGAGAUGAGGCGAGGUGGAGGCGGAGGAGCCGGCCGGUGGUGGCGACCAAGUUGGGAAAGAAAGAGGGGAUAAUCUUAGGGAUUAGUAUAAUAAGGUAGGGGCAAAAUAGGUAUUUUGUUUAGAUUUUAACUCUAGUAUAGAUUUAACCCAUGUUUAACCCGAGUUAAGUAACAGGGGAUAACUGCGGCGGUAUUUUGGAAUAACGGUGGAACAUAUGAGAAGCAUUUUAGAAAGAAAAAAAAAGUAGGGAUAGAUUGAAUAUUUCCGAACGCAUGAAGGGUAUAUAGAAAAUUAUCCCUAUUUUUGAAAAUAAUAAUAUUAAA